AGUUUUUUAUUUUAUAUUAGAAUUCUUGGUUUUCAUUCAAGAGGAGAUAAAAUUG
rnacentral:tRNA from 2 species